rnacentral:rRNA from 1 species
GUGGGGAAUUUUGGACAAUGGGGGCAACCCUGAUCCAGCCAUGCCGCGUGCGGGAAGAAGGCCUUCGGGUUGUAAACUGCUUUUGUACGGAACGAAAAGGUUCUCUCUAAUACAGGGGGCUGAUGACGGUACCGUAAGAAUAAGCACCGGCUAACUACGUGCCAGCAGCCGCGGUAAUACGUAGGGUGCAAGCGUUAAUCGGAAUUACUGGGCGUAAAUCGUGCGCAGGCGGUGAUGUAAGACAGAUGUGAAAUCCCCGGGCUGAACCUGGGAACUGCAUUUGUGACUGCAUUGCAGGAGUGCGGCAGAGGGGGAUGGAAUUCCGCGUGUAGCAGUGAAAUGCGUAGAUAUGCGGAGGAACACCGAUGGCGAAGGCAAUCCCCUGGGCCUGCACUGACGCUCAUGCACGAAAGCGUGGGGAGCAAACAGGAUUAGAUACCCGAGUAGUCC